ACCAGGAUGGCAGAGUGGUUAAGGCGUGGAGCUUAAGUCCAAUGUACGAAUGUAUGCGUGGGUUCGGACCCCACUCCUGGUA
rnacentral:tRNA from 1 species